rnacentral:misc_RNA from 1 species
GGUGUCGAGAUGCGGCAGUGGAUUGAUGACGUAUGCGGCGUCAAGCGGAGGCUGACCACUCAGCAUCAACAGGAGGCAGCACAGCAACACAACUUUAUCGCCAAACAUCAUGGACUUGGCCGAGGGAUCUGACUAUUCCAGCGCCAAGAGGGAGAGGUCGCGCUCCCCGAUUGAUGAGGACAGCCGAGACAGAGACGGUGGCAACGACCAUGAUGGGGACCGGGACCGUGGCCGCCGGAUGGACCGUGGGCGUCGCAUGGACCGCUCAAGGGGUGGCGGGAGACGAGGCUCAGAGGACACGCGGAUCUACGUUUCCAACAUUCCCUAUGAGUACAAGUGGCAGGAUCUAAAAGACUUGUUCAGGAAAGAGGUGGGAGAGGUGGCAUACGUAGAAAUGUUCAAUGAUGAGAACAACAGACCACGAGGGUGUGCUGUGAUUGAGUUUGAGAGCAUGGAUCUGGUGGCCAAGGCUGUCAAGACCAUGCACAGGUUUGAACUCAAGGGCCGGAAGUUGGUGGUGAAGGAGGGUGGACCAUCUCGCCAGGACUUCGACUCAGACAGAGACCGCCGCAUGAUGAAAUCCGACAUGCGCAGCAGAGACUUUGCCCGGGGCUCUGACAUUGGGGGCCCUCCCAGCAUGUCCGUCAACAAGUUUGGCAAUACGUAUGGCCUGUCCACAGUGUUCCUGGAGUCACUCGGCAUCACUGGACCUCUAGUCAACAAGGUGUUCGUAGCUAAUUUGGAUUACAAGGUGGACGACAAGAUGCUGAAGGAUGUGUUUAAGAUCGCAGGAAAGGUUGUCACUGUGGAGAUCAGCAAAGACCAGGAUGGGAAGAGUCGAGGCUUUGGAGUUGUUGAGUUUGAACACCCAGUGGAGGCAGUUCAGGCCAUCUCCAUGUUCCACAACCAGACUUAUUAUGACCGGAAGAUCAGUGUGAGGAUGGAUCGCGUCACAGAAAAGCAGGAAUCGACGGCCACCAAGCUACCGCCUGGCCUGAAGAGUCUCGGUAUGGGCCUUGGAGUCAAUGGCACUGCUCUCACUGACGUCGCAAGUCUGCCCAAUGCUGUUGCCACAGGGGUGUCUGCCUCACUGCCAGGCAUGGGCUCCAUGACCUCAAACAUGGGCACAAUGGGCAAUCAAAACAUGGGCAUGAUGGGCAUGGGAGGCACAACUGGCAUGGGGACAGGGAUGGCCAACCUUGGCACUGGCAUGGGGAACCUGGGUAACAUGGGCACAGGUCUCAGCAGUCUGGGGAACAUGGGCACCGGCAUGGGCAACAUGGGUACCGGGAUGAACACCAUGGGCAAUGGGAUGGGGUCCUCCAUCAUGGGGGGCAUGGGCACCUCCAGCAGCAUGGUGUCCAACCUGACUGGUGUGGGAGCUGGGCUGGCUGGUGGUGGUGGUGGCCUGGUGGGCUCCAGCCUGUCCCGGGGUAGCCUGGGCAGCAGUGGCGGUGGUGGAGGUGGCUACAGCUCCUAUGGGUCGUCCAGCCUCUCCAGGGAGUACAAUCAUGCCAGUGGCACCAACAACAGCUCCAGCUCGUACUCUGGCUACAGGAACAUCAUCCAGCUGAGCCACCUCCCCCUGGACUACACGUGGCAAUCCUUGCGUGACCUGUGCCGAGAGUUUGGGGAGAUAAGGUUUGCUGAAAUUCGCUCCAAGGGAACUGGAACAGUCCGCUUCCAGACCGAGUCUGAUGCCCGGAGAGCAGUCGAAAUGUUGGAUCGGCAGCGUCUGGAUGGAAGAAUUCUGGAUGUGGUGCUGUUGUAGAGCAGGUGACAAAGACCACGUCAACAAGGUGAAGCAGAGAGGGCCUUCCCAUGCACCAGGCUGGCCUGGCUCACAAGACUUCAGAAUCAAGGUGAGAGGGAGAAGGCAGCAGGUGAGUCAGGCUAGAGCAAUGGCCUGGAGAGUGGACCGUGGAGGAGUGUCAUGCAGCUGCUGGAGAGAUGAAGGAGGACCAAUGAUAGUCUUAUUUUGCCGGUCUGCCAAUCCUUUGUCCGUCAGGUAAAUCUUGGCAAGCGUCAACAGGUGGGUAGUGUGGUGGACAUUCAGUAAGUAAUGUCUCAGGUUGAUUUGGGUUGGUGUAAGGUUCAGGGGCCAGAUUCUACAUAGUUAUUGUCAGAUCUCACAGAAUUCCUGACUUACUCCACUGACCAUCUUAGGCUUACAAUUCGUCAACUUUAAAUAUAGAGAAAGAAAUAGGUUCUUGACAUAAUUUUCUUUGAUCUAAAUUAUCACAUUUCUACUUUUGGGAAUAGCUAGACAGUGUAUCCAAACAAAAGAAACGUAUAAAUAGAAGAUUACACCUGACAGCGCAACACAUGCAGACCACACUGGACAAGGUUUGUUUGAGUUUGGGGAAAAUUGAUCGUACCACUCCCAGCAGUUAUCUAUGAUAAUACAAUAUUACAUCAAAGGACAUUGUUUGGGCAGUACUGGUAAUUAUCUUUAAAUUAAUAAUAAAAAGUGUUGGAGAUUGUGUUAUGGUAUAUACAGCCAUGUUCCCACAAUGUUGACAAGAGUUAAGAUGGUCAUUGGCAAUGCUAUAACAGGGUUAACCCUGUCUUAGCACUUAUGACUGUGUCACAAGUUUAAAGCCUAUCAUACAUGGACUAAUGUCUAAAAUGUGCCAUUUUUAUCCUGCUAUGACCAUGUGAUGGUUUGUAGAAUACAGCCCCAGGACCUAUAACUACUACUUUGAACUAAAGUUUAGAGUGGUGAAGUUUAGAGUGGUAGUGUUGAGCAGUUGUAGAUGGGGGGAGUAAAGGAGAGGGUGAUGAAUUGUAGUUAGUUUGCAUGAUGAACAAUAGCUAGACUAAUCUUAAACCUUUCCCAUCCUCAUAAAUGCUAUCAUGAAAGAAGAAAAGAAGAAAUUGUAGAAUGAAAUAGGUUGAAAUGAAUGAAAGUUAAAUAAUGAAUUACCAUUCAUUACUUUAAUUAUCAUUUGUUUUAACUUAUACCAUAUCUACAAUUUCUUCUUUCUCCUCAUGCAUAAUAGCAUUUAUGGGGAUGAGAAAGCUUUUAUUUUUGUAACAACCACCACCACCACCACAUUAUCUGGUUAGUUUUAUUGUCAGCCUCAGCCUCAUAUUGUAGUCUGUGAUGAUCUGUGAGAAAAAUUUUGCUUCUGUUGUUCACAUGGAUGGAAGGUAGCACUGGAUGCUGAUUGGCUGUUCAACUUAAGAUUUUUUUUUAUGUCGAUAUUGUUGAUUUAGUCUUCUCACCAAAAUGCAAAUCCAGGAAGCAGAAUGUUUGUCACAGUAUCUGUGACUGCAGUGUGUGUGGAGUAAGAACUAUUAAGUUGAGGUAAGGAGGUAUUGCUUUAAUGGGGUCAGCAUGGCAGUUGCAGUUUGGAUUGUCAGGAAGGGAAGAGAGGUGGAUGGUGAUAGUACUCUAUGGUUUCAGUAAGGGAAGGGAAGAGUAAAGCAGUACUUCAAAUUUGUUAGGGAGGUGAAGGUUAAAAGGUGGUGGUAUAAUGGGAUCCAUGUGGGGGUAAUCUUUAUUAAUUAGGAAUGAAUGUACUGUAUGCUUCAUUGGUUUGCUUACAAUUCUCAGAAUGGUGUGAAAUAAAUAAUGAAACAAAU